CAAGACUUAAAUGGGAAAUGACAGGUUUAGAAAUAGAUCCUUCUUCGGACAUUUUUCAAGGUGCUGCAUGGUUGUCGUCAGCUCGUGCCGUGAGGUGUUAGGUUAAGUCCUGCAACGAGCGCAACCCCUGUCACUAGUUGCUAACAUUCAGUUGAGGACUCUAGUGAGACUGCCUACGCAAGUAGAGAGGAAGGUGGGGAUGACGUCAAAUCAUCACGGCCCUUACGUCUUGGGCCACACACGUAAUACAAUGGCCGGUACAGAGGGCAGCUACACAGCGAUGUGAUGCAAAUCUCGAAAGCCGGUCUCAGUUCGGAUUGGAGUCUGCAACUCGACUCUAUGAAGCUGGAAUCGCUAGUAAUCGCGCAUCAGCCAUGGCGCGGUGAAUACGUUCCCGGGUCUUGUACACACCG
rnacentral:rRNA from 1 species